rnacentral:rRNA from 1 species
UGACAGUACUCCUACGGGGAGGCAGCAGUGGGGGAAUAUUGCACAAUGGGCGCAAGCCUGAUGCAGCCAUGCCGCGUGUGUGAAGAAGGCCUUCGGGUUGUAAAGCACUUUCAGUCGUGAGGAAGGUAGUGUAGUUAAUAGCUGCAUUAUUUGACGUUAGCGACAGAAGAAGCACCGGCUAACUCCGUGCCAGCAGCCGCGGUAAUACGGAGGGGUGCGAGCGUUAAUCGGAAUUACUGGGCGUAAAGCGCAUGCAGGUGGUUUGUUAAGUCAGAUGUGAAAGCCCGGGGCUCAACCUCGGAAUAGCAUUUGUAAACUGGCAGACUAGAGUACUGUAGAGGGGGGUAGGAAUUUCAGGUGUAGCGGUGAAAUGCGUAGAGAUCUGAAGGAAUACCGGUGGCGAAGGCGGCCCCCUCGGACAGAUACUGACACUCAGAUGCGAAAGCGUGGGGAGCAAACAGGAUUAGAUACCCUGGUAG